CCCAGCAGCUGUCAGCCCUCUAGGCUCACAUGAUGGGAUGCAGGGAUGAUGCCGCACUGUUGGAAGAGCCAGCAUUGAGGUUUGGCUCUGAUCACUGUUUUGGUGCUGGGCAGAAAACCUUUGGGACAAUGUUUUCCACCUCUAAGAGUGGAAUGCCUCCUCCAGUGGAGUGGGUCCUAAUCUGAGUACAAACAAU